AUGUCUUCAUUGUUCCCCAUGUCCCUACUGUCCUCCAUGUCCCCAUUAUGGCCCCAUUGUCCCCUCCAUGUCCCCAUUGUCCUCCAUAUUCCCUAUAGCCCUAUUGUCACCCUACAUCCCCAUUGUCCUCCAUGUCCCCAUUAUGUCCCCAUUGUCCCCAUCCCUAUUGUCCCCAGUGUCCCCAUUAUGUCCCCAUUAUGUCCCCAUGUCCCCAUUGUCCCCCAUGUCCCCAUUAUGUCCCCAUUGUCCCCCAUGUCCCUAUUGUCACCCUAUAUCCCUAUUAUGUCCCCAUGUCCCCGUUGUCCCCCAUGUCCCUAUUGUCCCCAAUGUUCCCAUUAUGUCCCCAUUGUCCUCCAUGUCCCUAUUGUCACCCUAUAUCCCCAUUAUGUCCCCAUUAUGUCCCCAUUGUCUCCAUGUCUCUAUUGUCACCCUACAACCCCAUUGUCCUCCAUGUCCCCAUUGUCCCCCAUCUCCCCAUUAUGUCCCCAUUGUCCCCAGGUCCCUAUUGUCACCCUACAUCCCCAUUAUCCUCCAUGUCCCCAUUAUGUCCCCAUUAUGUCCCCAUUGUCCCCAUGUCCCCAUUGUCCCCCAUCUCCCCAUUAUGUCUCCAUUGUCCUCAGGUCCCUAUUGUCACCCUAUGUCCCAAUUAUGUCCCCAUUCUCCUCCAUGUCCCCAUCACGCCCCCAUUAUGUCCCCAUCACCCCCCUUUCCCCCCUCCCCCCUCCCCUCUCCAUGACGUCACCCCUCCCCUCCACACCCCCCCCCCCGGAGAGCUGUGCCGCGCAGGCGCAGUACGGAGCGGCGAAGCCGGGGCAGCCUUGCCAGGCGCCGGGCGGGGCGGGGCGGGGCGGGGCGGAGGGGGCGGGGCCAGCUCCAUCCGGGUCCCUCCCCACCGGCGCCAGAGCGGCCUCGGCGGGACGCUUGCCUGGCGUCAGCACCACGUGUCAGGAGGGGUCUCUUCUGCCAGCUCAAGUCUUCCCCGCAGCCUGAGGACUUUCUGCAGGAGGGAAGGAAGGAAGGAAGGAAGGAAGGAAGGAAGGAAGGAAAGCGCGCUCCUGAAAGUGUCUGCUCCUCACGUAAGUCAGGAAAAUCUGGCUAACUGACCUCAUUAACACCUCCAGCCCUGAGAUCAAGCCUCCUUUCUCCUCUCGGACACAAAGCAGGAGAGGGACAGCAGCGCUCAGCGUGGAGACGGAGAGGGAAGGACCCACGUGUGCUGUUCCUACACACAUUUCUCUGUGGGGCUUGGCCAGGCACUCCAGGAGCAGAGAAGUGAUUCUCCUGUCUCCUGCUGACCUCUGAGGCUUUUGCCCACCUCACAGAGCCGUUGGAGUGAAGCAAUUUGUGCCCCGGGACCUGACAUCUCUUUUUCUUGCUGGGUUUUCAAGCACUGCAAAGCCCCCAGUCGCUGUGAGCAGAGCAGAAGGAGCCGGGGAAGAAAUACUCCCCCUAAACCCGAUGCUUUUGGUAAAAGCAGAGAAAGGACAGGCUGAGCACGGAGCUCCUUUUAUUUUUUUUUCCUGUAAGCAUUAGGAAAAAUAUCAGAUGGCAGUGACAUGGCGGUGGGGUAAAUUCCCAGCAGGCUGAGGUUUGGCUUUGGGGUUGCCUGGGUUUUCCUGAAGGGUUUUUAAUGCUGUCAGCAGCUGACAACGCGGCCCUCGCAGUGACAGAGGGGCUUUCGGGGCGGCUCUUCCCCGGGAUUUCUUGGUGAUUUUGGUUUUGGUGUCCGGCUUUCGGUUCUCCUGCAUCGAGCUACCUGUUCUGCUUUUUGUAUAUUUAGUAAAAACGAAGAGAAGGAGUCUGCUGGGCGCUCCCAAGGCCCAAAAUCCGGGGUUUGUGCUCGGAGGGAGCAGAAGGCAGCAGCAUAAAGAGGAAUUCUUCCCUCCCAGGCCUCACGCUGCUUUUCCACCGCGAGGCUUUGCGGCCAUCUGGAUCCCCUUGCAGAUUAUGCCCCCAAAAAACCUCCAUAACCUAGCAACCUCGGGGAGCU
rnacentral:lncRNA from 1 species